rnacentral:rRNA from 1 species
GUCUUUUUGAAUUUAAUUUAAAGUCUAACCUGCCCAAUGAAUAAUUUAAUGGCCGCAGUAUUUUGACUGUGCAAAGGUAGCAUAAUCAUUAGUUUCUUAAUUAGAAACUGGAAUGAAAGGUUGGACGAGAAAAUAGCUGUCUCUUUAUAAAUUAGUUAGAAUUUUAUUUUUAAGUUAAAAAGCUUAAAUAUUUUUAAAAGACGAGAAGACCCUAUAGAGUUUUAUUUAUAUUUAAUUAAUUAAUUUAUUAGAAUUAUUUAUAUUUUAAUUUUAUAUAAAUUUAAUUGGGGUGAUUAGAAAAUUUAAAUAACUUUUUUACAUAUUAAACAUUAAUUUAUGAUUAAAUGAUCCAUUAAUUUAUGAUUAUAAGAUUAAAUUACCUUAGGGAUAACAGCGUAAUUUCUUUAUAGAGUUCUAAUCGUUAAAGAAGUUUGCGACCUCGAUGUUGGAUUAAAAUUUAUUUUUGGUGUAGAAGCUAAAAAAUUAGGUCUGUUCGACCUUUAAAAUUUUACAUGAUCUGAGUUUAAACCGGUGUAAGCCAGGUUGGUUUCUAUCUUUAAAAUUAGAAUAUAUUUUAGUACGAAAGGACCAAAUAUAUUAAAAAUUUUGUUGAAAAUUGAAUAUUAUUAAUAUUA